rnacentral:rRNA from 1 species
AACGAACGCUGGCGGCAUGCCUAACACAUGCAAGUCGAACGAGACCUUCGGGUCUAGUGGCGCACGGGUGCGUAACGCGUGGGAACCUGCCCUUAGGUUCGGAAUAACUCCCCGAAAGGGGCGCUAAUACCGGAUAAUGUCUUCGGACCAAAGAUUUAUCGCCUUUGGAUGGGCCCGCGUUGGAUUAGCUAGUUGGUAGGGUAAAAGCCUACCAAGGCGACGAUCCAUAGCUGGUCUGAGAGGAUGUUCAGCCACACUGGGACUGAGACACGGCCCAGACUCCUACGGGAGGCAGCAGUGGGGAAUAUUGGACAAUGGGCGAAAGCCUGAUCCAGCAAUGCCGCGUGAGUGAUGAAGGCCUUAGGGUUGUAAAGCUCUUUUACCCGGGAUGAUAAUGACAGUACCGGGAGAAUAAGCUCCGGCUAACUCCGUG